rnacentral:rRNA from 1 species
CCUGGCAAGUACUUUGAUGGGAGACUGCCUGGGAAUACCUGG